rnacentral:rRNA from 1 species
UGGGAACGUGCCCUUCAGUUCGGAACAACCCAGGGAAACUUGGGCUAAUACCGGAUACGUCCGUAAGGAGAAAGAUUUAUCGCUGAAGGAUCGGCCCGCGUCUGAUUAGCUAGUUGGUGGGGUAAUGGCUCACCAAGGCUACGAUCAGUAGCUGGUCUGAGAGGAUGAUCAGCCACACUGGGACUGAGACACGGCCCAGACUCCUACGGGAGGCAG